CCAUUUACAAUUAGAGAGGUGAAGGUUUCAAACAUUGGCCAACUUGUAAGAUUAGUUGGUAUAGUCACACGAUGCUCGGAUGUCAAACCAUUGAUGCAGGUUGCUGUGUACACCCGUGAGGAUUGUGGCUUUGAAAUUUAUCAGGUAGUUCAUUAGAGUAUUGCAAGAACUGCUUUGAUUAGAUAGGCUUUGAAAUUUACCAGGUAGUUGAUUAGAGUAUUGCAAGAACUACUUUGAUUAGAUAGACUUUGAAAUUUACCAGGUAGUUGAUUAGCGAUAGAAUUAGAGUUGUGAAAGAUUGUACACAUAUAGAAAGUUCCUCUACAGAAUAAUAUCCAGUUUUUCUCUCCUUCAUUUUUUUCAUGACCCCACCUCAAAAAAGGGCUUGUUUCCAAGAGGGAUAUGGCUAAGGUGGCUGCUUCAAGGAGGGAUAUGGCUAAGGUGGCUGCUUCCUUGGAAUUAAGUGACAAGAUGAUAGCCUGUCCUCUUCACCAACUGGUGUGAUGGUUUGAGCACUACUAACUCCCUGGAUGAGUGUACAAGAAAUUCCAUCGCAUCAGCCCCCCAGUGUAUCAGUAAGGAAUUGCUCACCAAAUUAUAUAUUUUGAUCCUUCACUCUGAAAGGUGAUUUUUAUCUGCGUUUUCAAUCGUACAACAAUGUCCUCGAACUUGAAAACUCGAUCAAAGAUAAAUGCCCUUUAAAGAUUGACAUUGGACCUGUCUAUACAAUCGAUCCUGCAAAAAGGCAUGCUUAUGCACAUGGUGAUAAUAGUGUCUUCACUCCAGUUGAGAGGGAGUUGAUUUUUUAUAUUAUAUUUGUGGCUUCUAGAUUGAAUGUUCCAGGAGCAUGGAAAAUGCCUCAAGUGAGUUCACAUUAUACUGGCUUGGCUGCUAUUUCUUUAUACUGGUUUGGCAUUGCGAGAGGAACAUAUUGAGAGUAAAUGGAAGUGAUAUCCGUCCAUGGUUAUUUGCAUGGUGGGUGAGAGUGCCGACAGUGUUACUGCUACUGUUGGCUCAGGAAGUAGUAACAACAAAAUGCCAACUUUGGAGGAGUAUGGAACCAAUUUAACCAAGCUAGCAGAAGAGGGAAAGUUGGAUUCUGUUGUAGGAAGGCAGCCACAAAUUGAGUGUGUCACCCAAAUUUUAGGCCGUCGCACCAAAAACAAUCCUUGCCUUAUUGAGAGCCCGGUGUUGGGAAGACAGCAAUUGCUGAAGGUCUUGCUCAGCGGAUCGCUAAUGGUGAUGUACCUGAAACAAUCGAAGGAAAAAAAGGUUAAAAGAAAGAAAACAUCUAACCCUUAGCGUUUUUAAAUUGCCGACCAUUUAGUUGAGUUUUUAUUCUAUAUUUGCGUACCAUUAUUUGGACGCGUUCAAGUAAUUAUGAAAAUGUCCAGUUUUUAUGUUACCUGGAUGUUGGUAGUCUUUAGGAAGUGCUAUCUCGUUUCAGUCACAUGGUUCCAUUACUAAUUGCAUAGUGUAGGAUAAGUAUUAUAAUUUUUACUUGCUGGAUUUUUGGGAGUGUAAUAUGAUUUUGGAAUAAUGUGAAUACGUUCUUUGCUCAAUUGUUUUUGACAUACAACAGUCUUUUAUGGAUAUACUUUUCUUCACUCUUUUAGUCUUUACACUAUUAAUCAUCAACAAGCAAGGGGGUAUUCAGGUCUCUUUCAAUUAUUUUCAAAUUUAUGGCUAUACAACAUCGAUAUAAUUGAUGAUAAUGCAUACUACGAUGUUUUUACCAGAGAUUUUGAAGUAACUCACUGCACUUUAUUUAUAAUUAUUUGAUUAGAUUUAUCAAAAACAAUUGAUGAUUUAUGUAGAAAAACAUAUAUAACAGCGGUUUUAAAUAUGUGGUCAUAACCAAACCGUGGCUAUAUCUUGAACCAAAACUGUAUCGUAAAUGUUAAAUUGAAACCGUGGCUUUACCAUAUAGCCACAGUUUUCCAGUCAUGGCAAACACAAACCGCGGCCUUAAUCAAGCUACCUAAACCGUGGCCUAAAAAAGCCACGGUUGUCAAAAAGGCGUGGUCUAUACCAAAAAACCGUGGACUUUACUUUAGGCCACGGCCGUAUACUCCACAGUUGGAUUUCUGUGGCCAAACCGUGGCCUAAGCGUUACGCCACGGUUAUUUUGCAUAUAGCCUCGGUUUUCUGGGCGUGGCAGGAGGCCUUUUUUCCUGUAGUGAACCAAUAAGAAAGAGUCUUUUUUUU